UAUCAACUCUGCGGCUUGAGCUUGCUUUUGCGGCACAGUUGAUAGCGCGCUGGACUUUGGGCUUUCGAGACCUGCUCCCUGCUAUUUCAUUACAUUAGACUGAAUGUUCAGUCAAAAUUGGCCUGAAUGGGGAUCCAGAGGCCAGGAAUUUCUAUUAUUAAAAGGAAACAUUUUCAUUAUUUAAUAAAUGGCCUUAAUAUUGGUUCCAAAGUAGUACGAGUCAAAUGAGUAAACAAGCUGCACAAAUGAAAACGUGGCACUGACGCUCCCAAUGGAUUGAUGUUUCAGCAUUGCCUCAAUGAAGAGUUCGGCGUUCGACUACUUAUGUGCGACAUGCCUUCUAUGAGCUUAUAAUAUAAACAACAAGGCUAAAGGUACGGUUUACUUCACUUUUAAUCAUGUCAAUCAUGUCAGCACAUGUAACAGCAGUUUACAGCCCAUUUUUAAAUUCUUAUUCUUCCUCUCCCCAAUUCACUUAAACUAUAUUUCUUUAUUUCCCAUGGGCUUCACCAGAGUACCCCCUAGUGGCUGGAAUACAACUGUAUUAAGCCCCUUACAACACCCCCCCAGCAAAAACGAAAUGUUGUCCCAAACAUUUCACUGGCCUCAAAACAAACAGAGGAUGUAAGUACUGGUCAUGAGAACAACUGAGAAAACUGGCCUAACAGCCAUAUAACUAUCUAGACAUGUCCAGUCUACCUUUAUGGGCAACGACGCAACCCCCACUAAACAUUAUCACACUGUGAUUAGUAAAGGUAACAAGAAAAUAUAUACACAUCUGAACAUCUGCUAGUUGUUAUCCUGAUAAGAGCUUGGCAGCCCUAAAGCGUUAUAGGUUAGAAUGUCUCUGGGCCUCCUCUGCUGGGCUGAACGGCGGGGCAAGGUCAUGGGUGACCCCAAUGAAUCAGUGUCCACUUCAUCAUGAGAUGAUUGAGUCUCUGAGCCCUCAGCUGUUUCCAUAUUUACCCCCGUCCUCUCCAGGCUGUCUCUGAGGACUGGCUGGCACUCCUUCACAGUGAAGUUUCUAUCAGUCUGACCCCGUUCCUCACUAUUAUCUGAUACUAGCUAUGUGCUACUCUGUCUGCUCUCUUCAUCCCUACGUGGCCUAUUGAUGAAAACUGGAUAAGAAUCCUCAUCUGAGCUCUCAGACUCAGCGCUCUCCCCAUUUUUCUACUUUUGCUGGGGUGGUUCCCUUCUCCACAGACCCCUACAGGGUGUUUCAACAAGUUCCUCAAAUGGUAGGGAAUUACACGACAUGAGCACACUGCGAUGCAGAACCCAGGCCCUGCCUGUACCCCUCUCGGGUUUGACCUUAAGAACGGCUGUCGUCACCUUUCCUGGUUUACCACCACGUGUAUUUGGUCCUCCCAGUGUGAUUUGAGCUUUCCUGGCCCCCCACGUUCUGACAUGUUCCUCACCAGUACACGAUCCCCAGAGACCAGAACCUAACUCAUUUUCUUCCGAUCGUAGUAGGCUUUUCCCUUUGCUGUUGAUUUCUCCAUGUUUCUAAUGGCAAUGUCAUAGGCUUCCGUCAUCUGUUGCUGCCACUUCUUAGCGUAAUCCUGGUAUGAUUUCUCCUGUUCCUUUAUCUGUCAACAGGUAGCAGUGGAGCCCUUCGAAAUAGCAGGAAAUAUGGGGAAAACCCAAUAGCAUCACUGGUGGUACAAAUAUAUGCAUGAACGACCUUGUUCAGAUAAUCACCCCAGUUGGCCUUUUUCUCUUCAUCUAGUGUGCACAACAUUGACAACAGUGUACGGUUAAAUCUCUCCACCGGAAUCCCCUGUGGAUGAUAUGGAGUGUAGGUAGGGGUAGUCAGGUGGCCAGCCGUGGAAAAAUGCUUAUUGAAAUUAUCGAUUAUCGUAGAUUUAUCUGUGGUGAAAGUGUUUCCUAUCCUCAGUGCAGUGGGCGGCUGGGAGGAGGUGCUAUUAUUCUCCAUGGACUUUACAGUGUCCCAAAACUUUUUGGAAUUAGUGCUACAGGAAGCAAAUUUCUUUUUGAAAAAGCUAGCCUUAGUUUUCCUAACUGACUGAGUAUAUUGGUUCCUGACUUCCCUGAAAAGUUGCAUAUCGCGGGGGGCUAUUCGAUGCUAAUGCAGAACGCCACAGGAUGUUUUUGUGCUGGUAAAAGGGCAGUCAAGUCUGGGGUGAACCAAGGGCUAUAUCUGUUCUUAGUUUCAAAUUUUUUGAAUGGGGCAUGCUUAUUUAAGAUGGAGAGGAAAGCACUUUUGAAGAGCAACCAGGCAUCCUCUACUGACGGGAUGAGGUCAAUAUCCUUCCAGAAUACCCGGGCCAGGUCGAUUAGAAAGGCCUGCUUGCUGAAGUGUUUUAGGGAGCAUUUGACAGUGAUGAGGGGUGGUCGUUUGACCACGGUUCCAGUACGCACGCAGGCAAUGAGGCAGUGAUUGCUGAGAUCCUGGUUGAAGACAGCAGAGGUGUAUUUAGAGGGCAGGUUGGUCAGGAUGAUAUCUAAGAGGGUGCCCAUUGUUACGGAUUUAGGGUUGUACCUUGUAGGUUCCUUGAUGAUUUGUGUGAGAUUGAGGGCAUCUAGCUUAGAUUGUAGGACGGCCGGGGUGUUAAGCAUGUCCCAGUUUAGGUCACCUAACAGUACGAACUCUGAAGAUAGAUGGGGGGUGAUCAAUUCACAUAUGGUGUCCAGGGCACAGCUGGGGCCCGAGGGGGGUCUAUAACAAGCGGCAACGGUGAGGGACUUGUUUCUGGAAAGGUGGACUUUUAGAAGUAGAAGCUCAAAUUGUUUCGGCACAGACCUGGAUAGUAUGACAGAACUCUGCAGGCUAUCUCUGCAGUACAUUGCAACUCCACCCCCUUUGGCAGUUCUAUCUUGUCAGAAAAUGUUAUAGUUAGGGAUGGAAAUGUCAGGAUUUUUGGUGGCCUUCCUAAGCCAGGAUUCAGACAUGGCUAGGGCAUCCGGGUUGGCGAAGUGUGCUAAAGCAGUGAAUAAAACAAACUUAGGGAGGAGGCUUCUAAUGUUAACAUGCAUGAAACCAAUGCUUGAAACCAAGGAAUAGAUUCAAGGCAUAAUGUACAGACGGGUAUGGUAGGAUGUGAGUACAGCGGAGGUAAACCUAGGCAAUGAGUGACGAUGAGAGAGGUUUUGUCUCUAGAGGCACCAUUUAAGCCAGGUGCGGUCACCACGUGUGUGGGGGGGUGAAACAUAAGGGCUAGCUUAGGCAUAUUGAGCAGGGCUGGAGGCUCUACAGUGAAAUAAGACAACAAUUACUAACCAAAACAGCAAUAGACAAGACAUAUUGACAUUAGGGAGAGGCAUGUGUAGCCGAGUGAUCAUAGGGUCCAGUGAGUAACUAGGCGAGCUGGUGGCACGGCAAUUCAGACAGCUAGCAGGCCGGGGCUAGCAGAUGUGCCUCAGGGGAAUGUCGCAACGGGAGAGUCUGUUGAAACCCCCUCGGAUGGUUACGUCGGCAGACCAGUCGUGAUGGAUCAGCCGGGCUCCGUGUCGGCAGUUACAGUUGAAGUCGGAAGUUUACAUACACCUUAGCCAAAUACAUUAAAACUCAGUUUUUCACAAUUCCUGACAUUUAAUCUUAGAAAAAAUCCCUGUUUUAGGUCAGUUAGGAUCACCACUUUAUUUUAAGAAUGUGAAAUAUCAGAAUAAUAUUAGAGAAAAUGAUUUACUUCAGCUUUUAUUUCUUUCAUCACAUUCCCAGUGGGUUAGAAGUUUACAUACACUCAAUUAGUAUUUGGUAGCUUUGCCUUUAAAUUGUUUAACUUAGGUCAAAUGUUUUGGGUAGCCUUCCACAAGCUUCCCACAAUAAGUUGGAUGAAUUUUGGCCCAUUCCUCCUGACAGAGCUGGUGUAACUGAGUCAGGUUUGUAGGCCUCCUUGCUCGUACACUCUUUUUCAGUUCUGCCCACAAAUUUUAUAUAGGACUGAAGUCAGGGCUUUGUGAUGGCCACUCCAAUACCUUGACUUUUUUGUACUUAACCUGUUG
rnacentral:lncRNA from 1 species